rnacentral:rRNA from 1 species
UACGGAGGGGGCUAGCGUUGUUCGGAAUUACUGGGCGUAAAGCGCACGUAGGCGGCUUUGUAAGUUAGAGGUGAAAGCCCGGAGCUCAACUCCGGAAUUGCCUUUAAGACUGCAUCGCUCGAAUCAUGGAGAGGUGAGUGGAAUUCCGAGUGUAGAGGUGAAAUACGUAGAGAUUGGGAAGAACACCAGUGGCGAAGGCGGCUAUCUGGACGGUUUCUGACACUAAGACUCGAAAGCGUGGGGAGCAAACAGG